UACGUAGGUGGCAAGCGUUGCUCGGAAUUAUUGGGCGUAAAGCGCACGUAGGCGGCUCGGCAAGUCGGCUGUGAAAUCCCUCGGCUCAACCAAGGAAGUGCAUCCGAAACUGCGGAGCUUGAGUACUUAAGAGGAUCGCGGAAUUCCCGGUGUAGAGGUGAAAUUCGUAGAUAUCGGGAGGAACACCAGUGGCGAAGGCGGCGAUCUGGGAAGAUACUGACGCUGAGGUGCGAAAGCGUGGGGAGCGAACAGG
rnacentral:rRNA from 1 species